rnacentral:misc_RNA from 1 species
UACUUCAACACCUUUCUCUCUCCAAAUCCCCUGGUGGGUCUAUUAAACUUCCAAGUUGCAUCAAGUUGUGGAAUUUUUUAAGUGGUCAGCUUGAAACUGUCUUAACAGUUGUAGUGACUGAUGAUAUAUGCCAUCGACAUCCCUACCCACACGCGCCUGCAAGAUUGCCUCAUCGUCAGGUUGGAUAAGGAGUUCACCAAUGAACUGGUAGACAGAACCAAUUCGAAAGCUAAGGUCCCUCAAGUGCUGGGUGUCGAUCUUCAGGAUGGCAUUUCCAUCAACAACAAUAGCAAUGGCUGUUUCCACAGUAUAUUCUUGUAGCUUCCCAAUAACUCUAAGUGAAGCUCCAUGCUUAAAAAGAGGAGAUGAUGGGUGCAAAUCUUUCAAAGUCACCAAUUCCCCAGAUUUAAUUGCAGGGAAUGCCAUAAAACGACCACAAACUCACUCUCAAAGACACACAAAUCCUACCUUGUAUUCGCAUGCAGUGUGAACUGAAAGCUAAUAGCUCAGAAGAGGAAAAGAGCACAACUAAACAAGGACGAGGGCGAUCCUUUUCCCCAU